GCGGAGAAGGAAGGUGUCUUUCCGGUUUCACCUUUUUGGUCCCUCUUACGUUCAGAAGCCCUACGAUCUGCGCAGGUCUUUGGAGCUCUUAAGAGGGACUCAGAGCAACUUUCGAGCAACUUGAAAUGGACUCAUUGGUCUUUGAGGAUGUGGUUGUGAAUUUUACCCAGGAGGAGUGGGUUUUACUGGAUUCCUCACAGAAGAAACUCUACAGAGACGUGAUGUUGGAAAAUAUCAGGAAUCUGGCAUCAGUAGCAGAAAAACAAGAUCACGACAUUGAAAGUUUGGAGAAAAACCAUGGGAAAAAAUUAAGGUGGAUUCUUUACCACUGAGCCACCAGGGAAGCCCUCAAUAUAACUUUUUAAUAGAAAGGUUGGAGAUCUGUUGAAGAGCGUUCAGUAUAUUCAACUUGUA